AGGCCUUGACAUGCAGAGAACUUCCAGAGAUGGAUUGGUGCUUCGGAACUCUGACACAGGUGCUGCAUGGCUGUCGUCCAGCUCGUGUCGUGAGAUGUUGGGUUAAGUCCCGUAACGAGCGCAACCCUUGUCCUUAGUUACCAGCACGUUAUGGUGGGCACUCUAAGGAGACUGCCGGUGACAAACCGGAGGAAGGUGGGGAUGACGUCAAGUCGUCAUGGCCCUUACGGCCUGGGCUACACACGUGCUACAAUGGUCGGUACAAAGGGUUGCCAAGCCGCGAGGUGGAGCUAAUCCCAUAAAACCGAUCGUAGUCCGGAUCGCAGUCUGCAACUCGACUGCGUGAAGUCGGAAUCGCUAGUAAUCGUGAAUCAGAAUGUCACGGUGAAUACGUUCCCGGGCCUU
rnacentral:rRNA from 1 species